AGCCUCCCACAACUAAGCCAAGGCAAUGCCGACGAGUGCUUCUUCCCCGCCAGCGACAAGUGCUCCCAUUCCUCCUCUGAAGAAACCGCCUGAUCCUCCUCCUCCCCUCCCCCCCUUCACCUGAGCUCCUCCUCCAAGGCCCCGCUACUGAAGGGGCAUCUCCCUCUUCGGGAGCAGCCUCUUCUCCCCUCGACAAAAGCCAAACUCGCACUGCUACCUCCUUGCAAGCGCAUAAAGUCUCACCCUUUUGGGCAAGCCUCCUCAGGCAACCCUCUUCAGAUGACCCUUGGCGUUUCGACACGGAGCUGGCAGAGAAGAUCGCUAGGAUUCAAAAGAGCUCCAAGCACGUCGCGGUCCUAGAUCCAGAGGAAGUGCAGAAUGCAAGGAGUCACUGACAACUCUACAAAUUUUUCGGCAAAGCACGCCCUUUGGAGUUCAUCAAAGGGGAGCCAUGGUUCCUCCGCGGACAUGCUCUCAACCUCUUCCCAAGGAGAGCAAACUUCCGACCUUUGAAGGAAAACGUAAAGUCUGCCCCAAUCUGGAUCCAUUUUCCUAGCCUCCCCAUUGAACUGAUGUACCAUCGCGUUCUCCUCCAAAUCGCCGAUAGCAUUGGAUCAGCUGUCAAAGUUGAUGCUGUCACCACCUCUGGAACUAGAGCGAGGCUUGUUGGCCAUGAAAUCGAUCAAUGCAACCAAAGCAAGCCGCCGGAGCAAACGGCCGCCCCUGGCAAGGAUGCCGCAGGUGGGCAUUGGCUCUGUUACAGAGAUUGGCACGAACCGAGAACAUGACCCACUGUACGGGCCCUGGUUCAAAGUCCAACACAAAUCCUGUUACAGCAGCCGUUUUGGCGCAACAUCGAUCCACUCCAGCGCCUCACCUCAGCCCACUGAACCCGCUCCGGCCACCUCGCAGCCUGGUGAAUCCCGUACCAAACGGGCCUUUGCUUUCUCCUAUUUCCCGCCAUCCCGUUCCAUCUUCGGGUCACCCUUUCAAACCAGCAUUAAACCCCGAUGGUGCUUCCCCAGAUUGUAUUAGUUCUUCCCCUCCUUUCCAAUACUGCGUCAUUGGAGAUGCGCCUCUCCACCCUGACAUGCCACCGGUGCUAACGUCUUAGGAUGCCGCCUCCUCGACUGCCACACCCUCCUUUGUAAAGGGACGACAACCCCUCGCCCACCCUACAAACAAGCACAACCCCGUUUCCUCACGCUUCUCUAGAUGUCAUCGCCUCGCCCCAUUUCCUCACCAACACAUCCCCCCAAACCCAUUCUCCAUUAUCCCUCAACCCACAUUCUCUAGAUGGAGCAGUUUGCCCGGCUCAAGGUCGGUCUGGUGGAAUCAUCGUCGCUUGGAACUCCGGUACUCUCCAAGCUUCCCCUGUUAGUAUCUCACAACAAUCUUUGCACUUAAUGGUGGAAUAGAGAGGAUCAAGAACCCUAGUGGCAGGCACUUCCUCCUCCUCCUCCACAACACUGAAGACGUCAGAGCUGUCUCACUGCAUAGGCUCAAAGAUCCUUGAAGUCUUCGCGGAUUCUAUGACCCUUGGGAACAUCCCAACCAAACGUUCCAACAUCCUGUACCCCUUCUGCAAGGAUAUUUUGUACUUGGCUUCUGCUGUGCAUGUCACUCACUGUAGUCAUAUCAGCAGAACAAUCAACACAAUAGCUCACAGCAUAAUUAAUUUUGCCAGACUGGCAAUUCUUUUA